rnacentral:rRNA from 1 species
AUUGAACGCUGGCGGCAUGCCUUACACAUGCAAGUCGAACGGUAACAGGCCUUCGGGCGCUGACGAGUGGCGAACGGGUGAGUAAUGCAUCGGAACGUGCCCAGUCGUGGGGGAUAACGCAGCGAAAGCCGUGCUAAUACCGCAUACGAUCUGCGGAUGAAAGCGGGGGACCUUCGGGCCUCGCGCGAUUGGAGCGGCCGAUGUCAGAUUAGGUAGUUGGUGGGGUAAAGGCUCACCAAGCCAACGAUCUGUAGCUGGUCUGAGAGGACGACCAGCCACACUGGGACUGAGACACGGCCCAGACUCCUACGGGAGGCAGCAGUGGGGAAUUUUGGACAAUGGGCGCAAGCCUGAUCCAGCAAUGCCGCGUGCAGGAAGAAGGCCUUCGGGUUGUAAACAGCUUUUGUACGGAGCGAAAAGGCUCCCUCUAAUACAGGGGGCUCAUGACGGUACCGUAAGAAUAAGCACCGGCUAACUACGUGCCAGCCGCCGCGGUAAGAC